UGGGGAAUAUUGGACAAUGGGCGAAAGCCUGAUCCAGCCAUGCCGCGUGUGUGAAGAAGGUCUUCGUAUUGUAAAGCACUUUAAGUUGGGAGGAAGGGCAGUAAGCGAAUACCUUGCUGUUUUGACGUUACUGACAGAAUAAGUACCGGCUAACUCUGUGCCAGCAGCCGCGGUAAUACAGAGGGUGCAAGCGUUAAUCGGAAUUACUGGGCGUAAAGCGCGCGUAGGUGGUUCGUUAAGUUGAAUGUGAAAGCCCCGGGCUCAACCUGGGAACUGCAUCCAAAACUGGCGAGCUAGAGUAGGGCAGAGGGUGGUGGAAUUUCCUGUGUAGCGGUGAAAUGCGUAGAUAUAGGAAGGAACACCAGUGGCGAAGGCGACCACCUGAACUCAUACUGACACUGAGGUGCGAAAGCGUAGGAAGCAAACAGG
rnacentral:rRNA from 1 species